rnacentral:rRNA from 1 species
AGAGUUUGAUCAUGGCUCAGGAUGAACGCUAGCGGCAGGCCUAAUACAUGCAAGUCGAGGGGUAGAGAGAGCUUGCUCUCUUGAGACCGGCGCACGGGUGCGUAACGCGUAUGCAACCUACCUUCACCUGGGGGAUAGCCCGGAGAAAUCCGGAUUAAUACCGCAUAAAAUCACAGUAUCGCAUGGUACAAUGAUCAAACAUUCAUGGGGAGAAGAUGGGCAUGCGUGACAUUAGCUAGUUGGCGGGGUAACGGCCCACCAAGGCUACGAUGUCUAGGGGAUCUGAGAGGAUGGCCCCCCACACUGGUACUGAGACACGGACCAGACUCCUACGGGAGGCAGCAGUAAGGAAUAUUGGUCAAUGGGCGCAAGCCUGAACCAGCCAUGCCGCGUGCAGGAAGACGGCCCUCUGGGUUGUAAACUGCUUUUAUUCGGGAAUAAACCUGCUUACGUGUAAGUAGCUGAAUGUACCGAAGGAAUAAGGAUCGGCUAACUCCGUGCCAGCAGCCGCGGUAAUACGGAGGAUCCAAGCGUUAUCCGGAUUUAUUGGGUUUAAAGGGUGCGUAGGCGGCCUGUUAAGUCAGGGGUGAAAGACGGUAGCUCAACUAUCGCAGUGCCCUUGAUACUGAUGGGCUUGAAUUGACUAGAGGUAGGCGGAAUGUGACAAGUAGCGGUGAAAUGCAUAGAUAUGUCACAGAACACCGAUUGCGAAGGCAGCUUACUAUGGUCUUAUUGACGCUGAGGCACGAAAGCGUGGGGAUCAAACAGGAUUAGAUACCCUAGUAGUCC